UUUUAUGGCGGUUGUGUGCGGGAGACUUACGGGUCUGCCGGAACUGGUGUAAAUCCCCCGGUCUGCGAACCCGCACACAGCUGCCACCCAU
rnacentral:antisense_RNA from 1 species